rnacentral:tRNA from 1 species
GCCCUGUUAGCUCAGUUGGUAGAGCACUAAUCUAGAGUCACAGUGGUCGUGGGUUCGAGCCCCACACUGGGUG